rnacentral:rRNA from 1 species
GACGAACGCUGGCGGCGUGCCUAAUACAUGCAAGUUGAGCGAUGAAGAUUGGUUCUUGCACCAAUUUGAAGAGCAGCGAACGGGUGAGUAACGCGUGGGGAAUCUGCCUUUGAGCGGGGGACAACAUUUGGAAACGAAUGCUAAUACCGCAUAACAACUUUAAACAUAAGUUUUAAGUUUGAAAGAUGCAAUUGCAUCACUCAAAGAUGAUCCCGCGUUGUAUUAGCUAGUUGGUGAGGUAAAGGCUCACCAAGGCGAUGAUACAUAGCCGACCUGAGAGGGUGAUCGGCCACAUUGGGAGUGAGACACGGCCCAAACUCCUACGGGAGGCAGCAGUAGGGAAUCGUCGGCAAUGGACGAAAGUCUGACCGAGCAACGCCGCGUGAGUGAAGAAGGGUUUCGGAUCGUAAAACUCUGUUGGUAGAGAAGAACGUUGGUGAGAGUGGAAAGCUCAUCAAGUGACGGUAACUACCCAGAAAGGGACGGCUAACUACGUG